rnacentral:rRNA from 1 species
CGGGGUGAAGCUCGUGGAACGAGCGGCGGACGGGUGAGUAACACGUGGGCAACCUGCCUGUAAGAUCGGAAUAACCCCGGGAAACCGGGGCUAAUGCCGGGUAACACUUUCUUUCGCAUGAAGGAAAGUUGAAAGAUGGCUUCUUGCUAUCACUUACAGAUGGGCCCGCGGCGCAUUAGCUAGUUGGUGAGGUAACGGCUCACCAAGGCGACGAUGCGUAGCCGACCUGAGAGGGUGAUCGGCCACACUGGGACUGAGACACGGCCCAGACUCCUACGGGAGGCAGCAGUAGGGAAUCUUCCGCAAUGGACGAAAGUCUGACGGAGCAACGCCGCGUGAACGAUGAAGGUCUUCGGAUCGUAAAGUUCUGUUGUUAGGGAAGAACAAGUACCGUUCAAACAGGGCGGUACCUUGACGGUACCUAACGAGGAAGCCCCGGCUAACUACGUGCCAGCAGCCGCGGUAAUACGUAGGGGGCAAGCGUUGUCCGGAAUUAUUGGGCGUAAAGCGCGCGCAGGCGGUUCCUUAAGUCUGAUGUGAAAGCCCACGGCUCAACCGUGGAGGGUCAUUGGAAACUGGGGAACUUGAGGACAGAAGAGGAGAGUGGAAUUCCACGUGUAGCGGUGAAAUGCGUAGAUAUGUGGAGGAACACCAGUGGCGAAGGCGACUCUCUGGUCUGUUUCUGACGCUGAGGUGCGAAAGCGUGGGUAGCAAACAGGAUUAGAUACCCUGGUAGUCCACGCCGUAAACGAUGAGUGCUAGGUGUUAGGGGGCUUCCACCCCUUAGUGCU